GAGCCCUUCCCACUUCUCUUCUACUGAGAUCUCCUAAUGGUCCUCUGAAGGGGGUUUUUGCUAUGGCAACCAACUCCUCUGGAGGGAAGAACCACUAUUGUCCCUGAAGCUAGCUUUCUCACAGAUGUACUAAAAUGGGAAUGGAGAUUUACUUUUAGUAUUAAUAAAUAAGUGUGGGAAGCUGCACACCAGCGAGUCUGCUGAGGUUUCUCAGAGGGCAAACAAUUACC